rnacentral:rRNA from 1 species
UACGGGAGGCAGCAGUGGGGAAUAUUGGGCAAUGGGCGAAAGCCUGACCCAGCAAUGCCGCGUGAGGGAUGAAGGUCUUCGGAUUGUAAACCUCUGUCCUUGGUGACGAAGGAAGUGACGGUAGCCAAGGAGGAAGCCCCGGUUAACUACGUGCCAGCAGCCGCGGUAAU